UCGGGUGAAGGAACUAGGCAAAAUGGUGCCGUAACUUCGGGAGAAGGCACGCUGACACGUAGGUGAAGUGAUUUACUCAUGGAGCUGAAGUCAGUCGAAGAUACCAGCUGGCUGCAACUGUUUAUUAAAAACACAGCACUGUGCAAACACGAAAGUGGACGUAUACGGUGUGACGCCUGCCCGGUGCCGGAAGGUUAAUUGAUGGGGUCAGCGCAAGCGAAGCUCCUGAUCGAAGCCCCGGUAAACGGCGGCCGUAACUAUAACGGUCCUAAGGUAGCGAAAUUCCUUGUCGGGUAAGUUCCGACCUGCACGAAUGGCGUAAUGAUGGCCAGGCUGUCUCCACCCGAGACUCAGUGAAAUUGAACUCGCUGUGAAGAUGCAGUGUACCCGCGGCAAGACGGAAAGACCCCGUGAACCUUUACUAUAGCUUGACACUGAACAUUGAGCCUUGAUGUGUAGGAUAGGUGGGAGGCUUUGAAGUGUGGACGCCAGUCUGCAUGGAGCCGACCUUGAAAUACCACCCUUUAAUGUUUGAUGUUCUAACGUGGACCCGUGAUCCGGGUUGCGGACAGUGUCUGGUGGGUAGUUUGACUGGGGCGGUCUCCUCCUAAAGAGUAACGGAGGAGCACGAAGGUUGGCUAAUCCUGGUCGGACAUCAGGAGGUUAGUGCAAUGGCAUAAGCCAGCUUGACUGCGAGCGUGACGGCGCGAGCAGGUGCGAAAGCAGGUCAUAGUGAUCCGGUGGUUCUGAAUGGAAGGGCCAUCGCUCAACGGAUAAAAGGUACUCCGGGGAUAACAGGCUGAUACCGCCCAAGAGUUCAUAUCGACGGCGGUGUUUGGCACCUCGAUGUCGGCUCAUCACAUCCUGGGGCUGAAGUAGGUCCCAAGGGUAUGGCUGUUCGCCAUUUAAAGUGGUACGCGAGCUGGGUUUAGAACGUCGUGAGACAGUUCGGUCCCUAUCUGCCGUGGGCGCUGGAGAACUGAGGGGGGCUGCUCCUAGUACGAGAGGACCGGAGUGGACGCAUCACUGGUGUUCGGGUUGUCAUGCCAAUGGCACUGCCCGGUAGCUAAAUGCGGAAGAGAUAAGUGCUGAAAGCAUCUAAGCACGAAACUUGCCCCGAGAUGAGUUCUCCCUGAGACUUUAGGUCUCCUGAAGGAACGUUGAAGACGACGACGUUGAUAGGCCGGGUGUGUAAGCGCAGCGAUGCGUUGAGCUAACCGGUACUAAUGAACCGUGAGGCUUAACCUUACA
rnacentral:rRNA from 1 species